CAGUAGCCGCGGUAAUACGAAGGGGGCUAGCGUUGUUCGGAUUUACUGGGCGUAAAGCGCACGUAGGCGGACUUUUAAGUCAGGGGUGAAAUCCCGGGGCUCAACCCCGGAACUGCCUUUGAUACUUGAAGUCUUGAGUAUGGUAGAGGUGAGUGGAAUUCCGAGUGUAGAGGUGAAAUUCGUAGAUAUUCGGAGGAACACCAGUGGCGAAGGCGGCUCACUGGACCAUUACUGACGCUGAGGUGCGAAAGUGUGGGGAGCAAACAGGAUUAGAUACCCCAGUAGUCCCUGUCUCUUAUAC
rnacentral:rRNA from 1 species